CUACGGGGCGCUGCAGUGGGGAAUAUUGGACAAUGGGGGAAACCCUGAUCCAGCAAUGCUGCGUGUGCGAUGAAGGCCUGCGGGUUGUAAAGCACUUUCGGUGGGGAAGAAAUGCUCAAAUAUAAUACAUUUGAGAGCUGACGUUACCCACAGAAGAAGCACCGGCAAACUCUGUGCCAGCAGCCGCGGUAAUACAGAGGGUGCAAGCGUUAAUCGGAGUUACUGGGCGUAAAGGGCGCGUAGGCUGAUGCUUAAGUCGGUUGUGAAAUCCCUGGGCUUAACCUAGGAAUUGCAGUCGAUACUGGGCGUCUAGAGUAUGGUAGAGGAAAGUGGAAUUUUCGGUGUAGUGGUUAAAGACGUAGAUAUCGAAAAGAACACCAGUGGCGAAGGCGACUUUCUGGACCAAUACUGACGCUGAGGCGCGAAAGCAUGGGGAGCAAACAGGAUUAGAUACCCCAGUAGUC
rnacentral:rRNA from 1 species